CAGUCGCCACGGGAAUACGUAGGUGGCAAGCGUUGUCCGGAAUUAUUGGGCGUAAAGGGCUCGCAGGCGGUUUCUUAAGUCUGAUGUGAAAGCCCCCGGCUCAACCGGGGAGGGUCAUUGGAAACUGGGAAACUUGAGUGCAGAAGAGGAGAGUGGAAUUCCACGUGUAGCGGUGAAAUGCGUAGAGAUGUGGAGGAACACCAGUGGCGAAGGCGACUCUCUGGUCUGUAACUGACGCUGAGGAGCGAAAGCGUGGGGAGCGAACAGGAUUAGAUACCCCUGUAGCCCCUGUCUCUUAUAC
rnacentral:rRNA from 1 species